rnacentral:rRNA from 1 species
CGGGUGAGUAAUACAUCGGAACGUGUCUUCUAGUGGGGGAUAACUGCCCGAAAGGGCAGCUAAUACCGCAUGAGACCUGAGGGUGAAAGCGGGGGAUCGCAAGACCUCGCGCUGGAAGAGCGGCCGAUGUCCGAUUAGCUAGUUGGUGAGGUAAAGGCUCACCAGGGCGACGAUCGGUAGCUGGUCUGAGAGGACGACCAGCCACACUGGGACUGAGACACGGCCCAG